rnacentral:rRNA from 1 species
UACGGAGGGUGCAAGCGUUAUCCGGAUUCACUGGGUUUAAAGGGUGCGUAGGUGGGUUGGUAAGUCAGUGGUGAAAUCUCCGGGCUUAACCUGGAAACUGCCAUUGAUACUAUCAAUCUUGAAUACCUUGGAGGUGAGCGGAAUAUGUCAUGUAGCGGUGAAAUGCUUAGAUAUGACAUAGAACACCAAUUGCGAAGGCAGCUCACUACACGGUCAUUGACACUGAGGCACGAAAGCGUGGGGAGCGAACAGGA